UUUCAUUUCAGAGUACUUCUUUUCCAUAUGGGUUGGAGUGGGAGCUAUGAUAUUCUCUUUUGAGGGUAUGACUAUCUGAAUGAGUACUAAGUAAACAAUGAUAUUUAGGAACAAAACAGAGAAAAUUUGCUAUUUUCAUCAUCAGUGAAAAUUUGCUAUUUUCAUCUCCAAUGUAUGCUACAGAAGUAGGAAAGGGCAUUGAAGUUAUUUUCAACCGACAGUUUUCUUUCAAUGACACAUACAAAUUGAGAAAUACAAACACAUGCUACUUGUAUGAUUCUAUUAUCAUGUCUUUUCUUACUGCGUGUGGUACCCUCAUAUAGUAUAUGUUUUGUCAUUUCAAAUCUCCUUUCCUCCAAAUAAUGUGCAUAUAAUAUAUUUCGUUUCCUAUAACUGAAGUACUCUUCCAGGUAUUUGGGUUUUAUCCUCUCUACAUCUUCAGCUUUAUAAUNNNN
rnacentral:lncRNA from 1 species